CGCUAUCUUCGGGUAUGUAAAAAUUAUUUUGGGUUCCCUGUGGUAAAUUUCGACCAAGUGCCUUUUACUAUACUACGGGCUACCUGUUUUGAUUUUCAAAUGCAUCACGCGGUUUACCUGUGGCUGAAAAUUUAACAUGGCGGACGACGAGUUCGACGAAGACUACUACACAGAAGUGAUUCUCUCGAAACCUCCAUUGGACCAAAUCGAUAUAGCUCCUGUCGGUCGAGCCCGGGGUAAAAUCCCGUUGGACUUGAACAAACUCCGUCUACCCAAGCGAGCGUUUGGUGGCGUCGACGAUGGAAAGGCUGGAAGAUCGCGAGGAAGAGGCGAAGAAAUAAAAGCGCGCGCGUUGGGACACGCAGGACCCGCGAGAAUUCCGCGCGAGAGACCAGGACAGAGGCAUGAAAUAUUCUCGAAGACAGCAUUUCCAUCAUUGACCACACCAGCCACCAAAGGCACAGGCUACCCAAUCAAAACAGUACAAUCACAGUCAAAGCGAAAGAAAGAUAACAAAUCAGCUAAGACAAACAAGAAAGAGACAGAUUCUGAUUUAGCCUGGCCAUCAUUGCCUGUGUCUGAAAGCAUGAGAUGGGAAGAUGAUGAAGAGACGUUCCACGAAAAAUCUAGCAAUGGCCAGAUGCCAAAGGGCCCCCAACAGAAUGAUGUCGCAUCCGAUGGUAAAGACCUUAUUAUUCAGAACCUUCCGAAAGGUAUCCAGGAAAAAGAUCUCAAAGAGCUUCUCCAACUCUAUGGCAAUGUCUUGGUGUGCAACAUAGAGAGGGAUUCAAAUGGUGAUAGUUUGGGAAGUGCUCUGGUCAGAAUGGAGUCAACAACAGAAUGCGAGUGGGUUAUCAGUUGCUAUGACAACCAGGAAUAUCCAGGUUCUUCAGAGCGACUUCACUGCAAAUUCCUUGGAGAAUAAUUGAUAAAGUUUCAACUCGACCAAGGGGUACGAUCGUGGGUACGAUGACAAUUAAUCUUUUGCAUCUUGACCGUUAAAAUAGAAGAAUGACAUAAGUGUCUUAUCCACUAGUGCUUUUACAAAAUGAUAUUUCUGUUUCCAAAAGUCAAACCUCAUUUAAAAUCGUGAAUUAACAUGGUAAGGGAUAAACUCAACAUAUUGUGUUAUGGUAUUGUUUCACUGAUUUUUCGCUAAUGUAUAUGUGUUUGUCUACUGUGAAGAUUGAAUAUCCAAUUAGUUUGUUAACUUGUAAACAAACUUGUUUAUUCAUAGACAAAGCUAAUAUAGGGUAAACUGUGUUUGCAACCCUUAUCGACAUUGUUACGAUUUUCAUGACUGAUAUUGUCAGCAAAUGUUUACUGUACGCCAUUUGUGUGAACCCAAGGGAAAAUUUUUAAAUAUUAAUUACAAAGAAACAUGAUUAUGACUAAAUCUGAUAGUGGUUAUACGCCUAGAGGAGCUAUAAAACAUUUAGCCAAUAGAUUUCAAGUUAUUUAUUCUAUGUUAAAAAAAAAAUAGUUUAUUUAUUGUACAUAAGAAGAUUAUUAAAAUGCUUGUACAUCAAAACUCUAAAUCUUAGUCCUUGACGCUAGUGAGGAGCUUGUCGGAGGACUGGCACGAGGUCUGGUACAGACACCUUGAGGGCUUGCUUUAUCUUCUCUAUGACAUUCCCACUUGCAGAGAGAACAAGCCAUAGAAACAACAGGCAAGUGGUACAAAACAAUGAGAUGCAAGUGACACAAAACAGUGUAACAGCCAGAAAGCAACAGGCAAUGGAAAUUAAUGUUCCUUCCACCAUUAUGAACCCAAGAAUGGUGAACAUCAGUGUUGUGCACACAAAAGUCAUGAAAAGUACCAAUGGUAGCACUGACAGUCCAGACACAAUACCCAAAAAUAACGCAGUGCCCGGGUACUGAUUAGCAAAGUGUAGGAGAGGCAUUGCUGUCUUCUGAAGGUCAAGGCUAUUCCAGUUAUUGGCCAAGAAGAGGUAAAGAUCACUGGACUGUCGGAUUGUUUGUGUUCUGCUCGGGCUGUUGCUGGACAUCUUUGCCUGGGAAUGGUAUGAAUGAGACAUGAGAGAGGUGCAUGUAUUUAUAUUAGCUUGUCAUGUGCUAUUUUAAUCCAGACUACCUGGCAGACUGUGUUAGCCAAUAUGAAAAAGGUCAUGACCUUUUACACACACUGGCACCUUUUCAAAUACAGAUACUAGAAAAUUUGGCAGAAAUAUAGAGAAAUAUAAAAAGCACAAACCUAAACAUAGCUGAAUCAUUUUACAGCCUAAAAUGAUAGUUAUUUGAAAAUGAAAAAUCAAAUAAACUGUUUAUUAGAAUCACAUCUUUUUUUUUUCUUAUCUAGACAACAAUACAUGAGACAUGCAUUUGAUGCAAUCUAGCAUUGUGUAAGAAAGGUGAAACAUGAGCAGACCACAAUAAUGUCAGCAAACUAUUUCUCUUCACAGCAGUAGAAUAUUUGCAAUAAGGCAGCAAAAUCUAGAAUUGUUUUAUGAAUAUUUUUUUAAAGACAGCAAGAUCUAGAAUUUUUCCAGGGUUUUUUCCAGGGUUAAAAAGUCAUACAUGACCAACUACACCAGGAACACAAUAGGAUAAUCUUAUAGAUUAACUUUCUUAUUAAAUUACAGAACUUCCUACUACUGAUGGAGAAAAUAAAAUUUUGUGAAAAUUAA